CCACUGUGUGGCCCGCGUCUCUUGGGUUCCGGCGGAAGAAAAGGCAACAUAUCGCCAGUGUGGUGCAUGCUGUUUUGAUUCCCUGGUGGUGAAACGCUAUUGUGCUGCUCUCCUCUGCUUCCUCGUUCAGCGAGUGUGUGUGUGCGUUUUGCCUGGAUUGACAGGUCUCCCCAUAUUCGAACCAUUGCUGCUCUUUUGGACUCCGGAUUUUGCACGUCAUCAGUCAAACUUGGACUGUGGUGGCGCCUAUACGCCUUAAUUGAAGCGGUGUUUGGGGUGUGGCAUCGGCGCGCCGAGCUCGCUCCCUGCAGUGGCAUGACCAGAGCCACACCGGAUCUUAAUAUUCAACUUGGAUUUUCUAUUUGUUUCUUUAUUUAGUUUCCAGCCCUUUUGGUUCCUUUAGAUAAUUGUUUAUUUAUUUGGGCUGAUUUUGUUUUAAGUUUAAGGUUGUUGUAUUUGGUUAACUGUUUUUCUGUUGUUUGCAGUUGCUGAGGCCCGGUGGCGGUGUUGGUGUGGUGACGGUGUCUCCCUCUUUUUUGUGCCGUGAUUCCUGAGUUUGGGUUGUCUCACUGCGUCUGGUGCUUUUACGGUUUUUUUGUUUGCUGUGUUUGGUGGAUGCCGUCCCUAUAGUGGCCCCUUCUGCCGGUGACCUCAGCUACUAUAGUUUUUUUCUGUUUUUCCUUAGUUUUUUGUUGUAAAGAACUGGUUUUAAAAGAAUUUAAUAAAUAGCUUUUUGUGUAUUUGCAAUUGCCUCAGAUGUUUUAAUUCAUGCAUAACUGAACCUGUGUGCUUUAAAGAAAAGAGGUAAUAUUCUCUGGGUGAAAUUCCCAGGGUGGCGCUGUGGAGCAACUUAAAUUGGGUCUAGAAAUUUAAAUUGCCCAAUAUUCUUAAUUUUAACCUAGUCUCGCCACAGAGGGAAAACCUCUCCGUGGAGGAAUGUUUCUGCAGUUAGAGCUCAGAAAACUAGGGGAACCCUGUGGAGAAACUCAGAGCCCAAACCAGAUCCUGGUUCUGACUAUUUAUAUUUUUAUAAUUGUCCUUGCAAUAGCGGGACAAAAUCAGCCUCAACCCUAAACAAAGAAAUGCUUCGGCUGCAGAGAAACUUCUGACGUUAAAUUCAUCAUUC